GUGAAAUCUGUUGUAAUUGCUGUGAGGGGAACUGAGACCCCCGAAGACCUCAUAACUGAUGGUUUAGGCAGGGAAUGCUGCCUUACUGAAGAAGAAUUAGAUAGCCUGCUAAAUGGCAAUCAUUGUGAUCCAUACCUUCAUCAAAGAGUGGUUUCGUCCACUCCACACUAUGCACACUCCGGAGUAGUUGAGGCCGCACGUGAUCUUUAC
rnacentral:misc_RNA from 1 species